rnacentral:lncRNA from 1 species
AAGAAUUUGCAUUAUUCAAAGAUGUGUUUAUACCAUGUUAUGACUAGAUGGCUCUUGUACAGCUAUGCAUGAUCACUCUUGAAUUCUCCAUUCUCAGAAGCAGAAAAAGGACUUCCAACUAUACAGCAAUCUAGAAUGAAGAAACAAGGUUUUCCUUACCAAUGUCACAACACUGACAGUCUAUUUCAGUAUGUAUUACAGCAAAAAACUUACUACAGCUGCAUUUUAACUAUUCACCUUGCUUGCAUUUCAGCUGGCCUUUCCUUAAUUUGUAAAAUAAACAUUCUCAGGAUGUCUUAUGCCUGCUAGUUGCUUUUUGGAUAAAAAAAAUAAUUAAUGUUGAUUUUGAAGUUGUGCUUUCCACAUGAAGCCGAGACAGUUACUAGAAGGCAAAGAAGUCAAACUUGUAAAGACUCCAUCCCUGGUAACCUGGCUCCUCCCAAGGACUGGUGAUUCUACAUGCUCCCUCUUCUUUUUCUGUCUGAGAAGGAAAUGGCUGCCCAACACUCAUCCUCAGCACUUUGAUCCCUCUUCAGAAAGGCAGUUUGUCUUCCUGCAGUUCAUUCAGGAUCGCUUUAAAGCCAAUUAUGUUUGCCUUACAUGGUGAUACAUGAUAAUUAAUGGGAUUGGGUAGAGAUGGUUAAGAGCUCUUUAUAGCUACAGUACCUGGAAUAUAUUGUAUUAUAAAGCUUUGUUAUAAAGCUAUAGUAGGUAUGAGGCUCUUAUCCAGUGUUCCUGAGUUUUGUGUUACACCAUUACAUUUUAAGCUCAUUGCACUUAAAGAAAGCGAUAUAUCCAAUUUUAUUAAUCAAAGGGCAGCAAAGAUGGCCAAAAACCUCAGUCAUUAGACAUUCAGGAUUAACUGAAGGACAGUUGUGUGCUUCGUGUAUCUGAGAUGAUAAAAUCUUGUAACAGGAUCUAAAGUAUGGAUUUGUCUUGUUGUAUUCUCCUCCCACCCUCAAUAUUUUAAUCUUUUUAAAUCUUUUUGCAUGUCUUCUGUGUUUUACUUCUAAUCCCUAGAAAUGAAACUAGAUCAGCUGGUGUUUCAUAUAUGGUUAAACUGGUAGAGACAAAUGAGCAAAUACAUAAUAGUUUGGGCUCAAAGGUACUACAAUAAUCUUUUGAGUUUCAAAUAUAGUUAAUAGAAUAGCUCACAGUAUCUUCACCUCAGGAGGAUGAAAUGGGGGAAGAUUGUAAUCCUCAUGAUUCAUCCAGUGACCAUCCAGAAUGACCAAGGUUUCUGUCUUUGUUAUCCCGUACUAUUUGUCAUCAGUUAAAAUGGAGUGUUAUCCAGGAAAUAUCUGAGAACUGUGUUAGAGUGAUAAAAUUAUUUUAAAUUUCUCCAUCGACUUGUGUUAUUGAAAUGCAUUUUUUAUGCUUUGAAUGCAGCAAAUUGAAAGAGUAACCACAGUUUAUUAAAACAUGAUGGUUUGCUGAACGUUCUGUAUAAAUUUAUGAAUGACCUCUGUCAAAGUGGAGAGUGCCUGUUAAUAAUUUUGUGCUUUAAAACAAAGCAAACAAAUAAACAUUUAAAGAACAUUACA